rnacentral:rRNA from 1 species
UACGUAGGGCGCAAGCGUUGUCCGGAAUUAUUGGGCGUAAAGAGCUCGUAGGCGGUUUGUCGCGUCUGCUGUGAAAACCCGAGGCUCAACCUCGGGCCUGCAGUGGGUACGGGCAGACUAGAGUGCGGUAGGGGAGACUGGAAUUCCUGGUGUAGCGGUGGAAUGCGCAGAUAUCAGGAGGAACACCGAUGGCGAAGGCAGGUCUCUGGGCCGCAACUGACGCUGAGGAGCGAAAGCAUGGGGAGCAAACAGG